rnacentral:tRNA from 1 species
GUCAAGGUGCCAGAGUGGUUAAUGGGCUGCCCUGCUAUCAAAUUAUUUGAUCUCAGACUAGGCAGUGGCUUCGGUCGCGCAGGUUCGAAUCCUGUCCUUGACG